GGGUUGUGAGGUUAAGCGACUAAGCGUACACGGUGGAUGCCCUGGCAGUCAGAGGCGAUGAAGGACGUGCUAAUCUGCGAUAAGCGUCGGUAAGGUGAUAUGAACCGUUAUAACCGGCGAUUUCCGAAUGGGGAAACCCAGUGUGAUUCGUCACACUAUCAUUAACUGAAUCCAUAGGUUAAUGAGGCGAACCGGGGGAACUGAAACAUCUAAGUACCCCGAGGAAAAGAAAUCAACCGAGAUUCCCCCAGUAGCGGCGAGCGAACGGGGAGCAGCCCAGAGCCUGAAUCAGUGUGUGUGUUAGUGGAAGCGUCUGGAAAGGCGCGCGAUACAGGGUGACAGCCCCGUACACAAAAAUGCACAUGCUGUGAGCUCGAUGAGUAGGGCGGGACACGUGGUAUCCUGUCUGAAUAUGGGGGGACCAUCCUCCAAGGCUAAAUACUCCUGACUGACCGAUAGUGAACCAGUACCGUGAGGGAAAGGCGAAAAGAACCCCGGCGAGGGGAGUGAAAAAGAACCUGAAACCGUGUACGUACAAGCAGUGGGAGCACGCUUCGGCGUGUGACUGCGUACCUUUUGUAUAAUGGGUCAGCGACUUAUAUUCUGUAGCAAGGUUAACCGAAUAGGGGAGCCGAAGGGAAACCGAGUCUUAACUGGGCGUUAAGUUGCAGGGUAUAGACCCGAAACCCCGGUGAUCUAGCCAUGGGCAGGUUGAAGGUUGGGUAACACUAACUGGAGGACCGAACCGACUAAUGUUGAAAAAUUAGCGGAUGACUUGUGGCUGGGGGUGAAAGGCCAAUCAAACCGGGAGAUAGCUGGUUCUCCCCGAAAGCUAUUUAGGUAGCGCCUCGUGAAUUCAUCUCCGGGGGUAGAGCACUGUUUCGGCAAGGGGGUCAUCCCGACUUACCAACCCGAUGCAAACUGCGAAUACCGGAGAAUGUUAUCACGGGAGACACACGGCGGGUGCUAACGUCCGUCGUGAAGAGGGAAACAACCCAGACCGCCAGCUAAGGUCCCAAAGUCAUGGUUAAGUGGGAAACGAUGUGGGAAGGCCCAGACAGCCAGGAUGUUGGCUUAGAAGCAGCCAUCAUUUAAAGAAAGCGUAAUAGCUCACUGGUCGAGUCGGCCUGCGCGGAAGAUGUAACGGGGCUAAACCAUGCACCGAAGCUGCGGCAGCGACACUAUGUGUUGUUGGGUAGGGGAGCGUUUCUGUAAGCCUGCGAAGGUGGCCUGUGAGGGUUGCUGGAGGUAUCAGAAGUGCGAAUGCUGACAUAAGUAACGAUAAAGCGGGUGAAAAGCCCGCUCGCCGGAAGACCAAGGGUUCCUGUCCAACGUUAAUCGGGGGCAGGGUGAGUCGACCCCUAAGGCGAGGCCCGAAAGGCGUAGUCGAUGGGAAACAGGUUAAUCAUUCCUGUACUUGGUGUUACUGCGAAGGGGGGACGGAGAAGGCUAUGUUGGCCGGGCGACGGUUGUCCCGGUUUAAGCGUGUAGGCUGGUUUUCCAGGCAAAUCCGGAAAAUCAAGGCUGAGGCGUGAUGACGAGGCACUACGGUGCUGAAGCAACAAAUGCCGCUGCUUCCAGGAAAAGCCUCUAAGCAUCAGGUAACAUCAAAUCGUACCCCAAACCGACACAGGUGGUCAGGUAGAGGAAUACCAAGGCGCUUGAGAGAACUCGGGUGAAGGAACUAGGCAAAAUGGUGCCGUAACUUCGGGAGAAGGCACGCUGAUACGUAGGUGAAGUCCCCUCCGCGGAUGGAGCUGAAAUCAGUCCGAAGAUACCAGGCUGGCUGCAACUGUUUAUUAAAAACACAGCACUGUGCAAACACGAAAGUGGACGUAUACGGUGUGACGCCUGCCCGGUGCCGGAAGGUUAAUUGAUGGGGUUAGCGGUAACGCGAAGCUCUUGAUCGAAGCCCCGGUAAACGGCGGCCGUAACUAUAACGGUCCUAAGGUAGCGAAAUUCCUUGUCGGGUAAGUUCCGACCUGCACGAAUGGCGUAAUGAUGGCCAGGCUGUCUCCACCCGAGACUCAGUGAAAUUGAACUCGCUGUGAAGAUGCAGUGUACCCGCGGCAAGACGGAAAGACCCCGUGAACCUUUACUAUAGCUUGACACUGAACAUUGAGCCUUGAUGUGUAGGAUAGGUGGGAGGCUUUGAAGUGUGGACGCCAGUCUGCAUGGAGCCGACCUUGAAAUACCACCCUUUAAUGUUUGAUGUUCUAACGUUGACCCGUUAUCCGGGUUGCGGACAGUGUCUGGUGGGUAGUUUGACUGGGGCGGUCUCCUCCUAAAGAGUAACGGAGGAGCACGAAGGUUGGCUAAUCCUGGUCGGACAUCAGGAGGUUAGUGCAAUGGCAUAAGCCAGCUUGACUGCGAGCGUGACGGCGCGAGCAGGUGCGAAAGCAGGUCAUAGUGAUCCGGUGGUUCUGAAUGGAAGGGCCAUCGCUCAACGGAUAAAAGGUACUCCGGGGAUAACAGGCUGAUACCGCCCAAGAGUUCAUAUCGACGGCGGUGUUUGGCACCUCGAUGUCGGCUCAUCACAUCCUGGGGCUGAAGUAGGUCCCAAGGGUAUGGCUGUUCGCCAUUUAAAGUGGUACGCGAGCUGGGUUUAGAACGUCGUGAGACAGUUCGGUCCCUAUCUGCCGUGGGCGCUGGAGAACUGAGGGGGGCUGCUCCUAGUACGAGAGGACCGGAGUGGACGCAUCACUGGUGUUCGGGUUGUCAUGCCAAUGGCACUGCCCGGUAGCUAAAUGCGGAAGAGAUAAGUGCUGAAAGCAUCUAAGCACGAAACUUGCCCCGAGAUGAGUUCUCCCUGACUCCCUGAGAGUCCUGAAGGAACGUUGAAGACGACGACGUUGAUAGGCCGGGUGUGUAAGCGCAGCGAUGCGUUGAGCUAACCGGUACUAAUGAACCGUGAGGCUUAACCUUACAACGCCGAAG
rnacentral:rRNA from 1 species